GAGUUACUUUGAUAGAUAAUUUUAAGAGUUGAUGUUAUUUAAAUAUGGAUUAAAGCUUUUUAGUUUAUUUAAAAUGUUUACUUGUGGUGUAAAAGAAAAUUAAGCUAUAAUUUUAAUUUAUUUAUUUAUUAGUAUUGCAUACUAUUAUAAAAAAAUAUUGUUAUAACAAUUAAUAAAAAUAAAGAGUAGAAUUUUUUUUAUUUUUAUUGUUACGUAAUAAAAAAAUAAAGAAAUUAGGGUUGAAAAGUCGAUCUUUAUGAUAUUUGUUUAAAUUUAAUUAUUAGAAAAUUAUAAUUUUAAAAUUUAUUAAUGUAAAUUAAAAAGUUAUAGUAUUUUUAUUAUUAGUUUUAUAACAGUUUAUAAAUUUUUUAUCAAAGAUUUAUAAUUUAAUUAUUAAAAUUUUAAUAAUUAAAGUAUUUAUAAAUUAGUAAAUAAAACUUAAUUAUAUAAUAAGUUAAAAUUUAAUUAAAGAAAUUGAAUAUUAAUCAAAUGUUUUUUAAAGACUUAGACUUUAUUUUAAAGUUUGCUUCUGCCCAGUGAUAUGUUAAAUGGCAGUCUUAGCGUGAGGACAUUAAGGUAGCAAAAUAAUUUGUGCUUUUAUUGAGUUCCAGUAUGAAUGAAGUUAUUGGUUAAUUAUUUUUUAAUUUUAUUUUUGAAUUUAUAUUUUUAUAAAAAAGUUAAGUUAUAAUUAUCCAAAGAUAAGUCUUCGGAAAUUCUUUUAAGGUAAAUAUUAUUUAUUUAUUAUUAAAUUUUCUAGGGCAGAAUAUUAUAUAGUUAGUUUUUCUAUUAAUAAUAUAAUGAAUUACUCCGGAGUUACCAGAAAAUCAUAUCUAAUCCAGUUCUUAUGGUAAGAUAAGUUUUACAUCGAUGUUGUAUUUAAGUAAUUAGAAGAGGAGAAA
rnacentral:rRNA from 1 species